rnacentral:rRNA from 1 species
UAGGGAAUCUUCGGCAAUGGGGGCAACCCUGACCGAGCAACGCCGCGUGAGUGAAGAAGGUUUUCGGAUCGUAAAGCUCUGUUGUAAGAGAAGAACGUGUGUGAGAGUGGAAAGUUCACACAGUGACGGUAACUUACCAGAAAGGGACGGCUAACUACGUGCCAGCAGCCGCGGUAAUACGUAGGUCCCGAGCGUUGUCCGGAUUUAUUGGGCGUAAAGCGAGCGCGGGCGGUUUAAUAAGUCUGAAGUUAAAGGCAGUGGCUUAACCAUUGUUCGCUUGGGAAACUGUUAAACUUGAGUGCAGAAGGGGAGAGUGGAAUUCCAUGUGUAGCGGUGAAAUGCGUAGAUAUAUGGCGGAACACCGGUGGCGCAAGCGGCUCUCUGGUCUGUAACUGACGCUGAGGCUCGAAAGCGUGGGGAGCAAACAGG